AGGGCUCAAUAAUUUCAUCCUGUGUGUUGGGUUUAGUUUCGAGUCAAAGUAAGGCUAAUGAAAGGAAUCCUAGAGGACCCAUUCAAUUACGUGGCAAGGUAAUUUUUGUCUCUCUUCUUUACUGGGUUGGCUCUAUGUGAUGGGUGGGCUUUUAUUACUUUGAUCAUUAUCGUAACUCCGGGAUUUGAUUUUACGCUAUCACUAAAAAGGUCAUCUCAUUGGUUUCGUGCCGGAAAUAGCUCUGUGGUGGCACCCAUUCAUCGAUGGCAAGGCAUUCAGCUUGCCUGUUGAGGAAGUUGGAGGUGUUGGGUGGAUGAGGAAAUAUGUGAUCUUUGUGGUGGCUUUGGUUACGGCUUUAUGCCUUUGGAUGGCAGCAACCAUGAAUAGCAAAGAGGUCUCUGUUUCAUUUCUAGAAAUCUUAGGGUUUGUAGGUUGAGUUGAUUCAGUGUAUAGGUUGGUUUGAUUGUGGAUUCAAUUUGUGAGUUAGUUAGUAUGGGUUUAGGUUAUCUCUUUUGUUGGUUUGGUUGAUGUUUAGCAUUGUGGGCUUCUUUUCCUCUUCAGUUUUG
rnacentral:misc_RNA from 1 species